GGGAUUGCCCUAGUAACGGCGAGUGAAGCGGCAACAGCUCAAAUUUGAAAUCUGGCGCAAGCCCGAGUUGUAAUUUGUAGAGGAUGCUUCUGGGUAGCGACCGAUCUAAGUUCCUUGGAACAGGACGUCAUAGAGGGUGAGAAUCCCGUAUGUGACCGGCCCGCACCCUUUACGUAGCUCCUUCGACGAGUCGAGUUGUUUGGGAAUGCAGCUCUAAAUGGGAGGUAAAUUUCUUCUAAAGCUAAAUACCGGCCAGAGACCGAUAGCGCACAAGUAGAGUGAUCGAAAGAUGAAAAGUACUUUGGAAAGAGAGUUAAAAAGCACGUGAAAUUGUUGAAAGGGAAGCGCCUGCAACCAGACUUCGCGGCAGUGUUCCGCCGGUCUUCUGACCGGUUUAUUCUCUGUCGCGAGGCCAUCAUCGUCUGGGCCCGCCGGAUAAGACCUUAGGAAUGUAGCUCACCUUCGGGAGAGUGUUAUAGCCUAGGGUGAUGCGGCGAGGCUCGGGCGAGGUCCGCGCUUCGGCAAGGAUGAUGGCGUAAUGGUUGUCGGCGGCCCGUCUUGAAACACGGACCAAGGAGUCUAACAUCUAUGCGAGUGUUCGGGUGUCAAACCCCUACGCGUAAUGAAAGUGAACGGAGGUGGGAACCGCAAGGUGCACCAUCGACCGAUCCUGAUGUCCUCGGAUGGAUUUGAGUAAGAGCAUAGCUGUUGGGACCCGAAAGAUGGUGAACUAUGCCUGAAUAGGGUGAAGCCAGAGGAAACUCUGGUGGAGGCUCGCAGCGGUUCUGACGUGCAAAUCGAUCGUCAAAUUUGGGUAUAGGGGCG
rnacentral:rRNA from 1 species